rnacentral:rRNA from 1 species
CCUACGGGAGGCAGCAGUGAGGAAUAUUGGUCAAUGGGCUUACGCCUGAACCAGCCAAGUCGCGUGAGGGAAGACGGCCCUACGGGUUGUAAACCUCUUUUGUCGGGGAGCAAAGAGAGUCACGUGUGACUCAUUGAGAGUACCCGAAGAAAAAGCAUCGGCUAACUCCGUGUCAGCAGCCGCGGUAAUACGGAGGAUCCGAGCGUUAUCCGGAUUUAUUGGGUUUAAAGGGAGCGUAGGUGGAUUGUUAAGUCAGUUGUGAAAGUUUGCGGCUCAACCGUAAAAUUGCAGUUGAAACUGGCAGU